rnacentral:rRNA from 1 species
UAGGGAAUCUUGGACAAUGGGCGCAAGCCUGAUCCAGCCAUGCCGCGUGAGUGAAGAAGGCCUUCGGGUUGUAAAGCUCUUUUGCCAGGGACGAUAAUGACGGUACCUGGAGAAUAAGCCCCGGCAAACUUCGUGCCAGCAGCCGCGGUAAUACGAAGGGGGCUAGCGUUGUUCGGAAUUACUGGGCGUAAAGCGCACGUAGGCGGAUGAUUAAGUCAGGGGUGAAAUCCCGAGGCUCAACCUCGGAACUGCCCUUGAUACUGGCCAUCUCGAGUCCGGAAGAGGUUAGUGGAAUUCCCAGUGUAGAGGUGAAAUUCGUAGAUAUUGGGAAGAACACCAGUGGCGAAGGCGGCUAACUGGUCCGGUACUGACGCUGAGGUGCGAAAGCGUGGGGAGCAAA